ACCACCUUAAUCCCAUUUAACUCAGCAUUAAUCUUAGAGAUCCUUGAAGUUUAGUAUAAAGUGAAGAGAAAAAUCACAACCUUAAUCCCAUUUAACUCAGCAUUAAUCUUAGAGAUCCUUGAAAUUUAGUAUAAAGUGAAGAGAAAAAUUCACAUAUAGGGGAGACAAUUUUCACAUUCGCGGUACAUACAAUUUCCCACACACACGGUACAUAUUGUCCACUCAUUAUCCAAUUUCUCCAACAAAAAAACUUAUACCAAUUUUUCCAAAAAAAAAAAACCUACAACAAUUUCCACCUUAUUUAUUUUCUCUACCUAGUAUAAACCAUUACACAAUUAACACUCAUCCAUUACUUCCAAAAUACCAUUACUAUAAAUCAUACAAACUCCAACCAUUCAAUUUACAGAAGCUUCAAUAUUGUCAUUUUUCAUCAAACAAAAUAGUUAUACACUACAACCCGCACCACCAUGGCUAUCAUCAACAAUAACAUUCAAAUUCCUUUGAACCAUACCCACAACACGACAUAAAAGAAAAUAAAAAAAUAGUGAAAAUAUAAACCAAAAAAAAAAGGAAGUGGAAGAAGAAGAACAUCACAACACGCACAAACCGGCGCCUAUCACUACCGUCUCUGACGACCGCGCUCCGACCACCAUCACCAUGAUCAGAAAACGCACGUUGUCACCUGCUCUAACACCUCUGUGCAACUCUCCUCCCACAACCACGUCCUACCUGCUCGUGCGACCGCCACAGAGCCGGUGCAACCACCGAGCAAGUCGUCAAAUCGAUCCGCCGCAGAUCUGGUCGCAAGCCUUUUCCUUCCGGUUAGUCGUGCAUUCUUCCAUUUUUAUUUACAUAUUUUCUCUUAUCUUUCAAUUUGUUUUCUUUCAUUUCUAUGAAUGACUUUUUUCUCCAGUUUUUUUGUUUCAAAUAUGAAAAACUAAAAAAUAGAUGGAAGUGUGAUUGUCGUUUCUUUCCAUUCCCUCUGUAUUUUCUAACUCUGCUUUUUAUAUCUUUUAGCAAAGUUUGAUAUUUUGGAUUUUGAUUAGUGACUCAUGGAUUUAUUAUAAUAUUGUAUGCCACUUGUGAAGAUCCCAUGAGUAUUGUGUUUUCUAUUCAUACAUACUAUAUUAGAUUACUGUCACACAUGGUUCUUUUCCACUUUAUGAUGGACAUGAGUAUGAUGCCCAUGGCUUAAGAAUUGUGCAAUUUUUUCUCAACUAGUUUGUUAAUAUAUAGUAAGCAUUGUAAUGUCAUUGUAAAUAUAUACUUGCAAAGUCAAGUUACUUUUUUUUUCCUCUAAAACAAAUUAAUCAUUCUAUUUUUGCUUUUAAAAAAAAAGUUUCUGAUCUCUAAAUUAAAUGUGUCAAUAUUGGGCCAUGUAUAUAAUUUGCUUUUUUUAAAAGUAAAUUUUUCAUAAAUCCUUAAAUAAAUAUCGAAAUACAAAAACAUUUUCAUUCACUAAAAACUAAUAAAAAAGAAUAAAAAAUAUAAUUAGUUAUGAAAUAUUAAUCAAGAAUUUAUGAUUAAUAAUAUUAAAUUAGGAUAAUUUGGGUUAAUUAAUAAGAAUAAAAAAUAUAAUUAGUUAUGAAAUAUUAAUCAAGAAUUUAUGAUUAAUAAUAUUAAAUUAGGAUAAUUUGGGUUAAUUAAUAUUUCUACAAUAAUUCUUAGUUAGGAUUAUAAUAUAGAAAUUCAUAAAAGUAAUUUAGGGGUUUAAUAUAAUUAGGGAUUAAAUAAAAAUAUAUAAUUAAAUAAUUACUUACAUAAUCAUAAUUAACAAAAUAUAAUUAAUAUUAUGGAUUAUUUUAGAAUAAUUAGGCAGGUUGGAAUUAGGGAAUAAUUCUUAAAAAUGGGUUAAUAUAAAUAAAAUAAUAAUAAUAAUGGGAUUAAUUAUAGGGAUAUUAAUCUAUUAAGGGUUAAUUUAUGAGAUAAUUUAGGGAUAAUUAUGGGAUAAAUAUCUAGGGUUUUAGGGAUGAAAAAUUAGGGAUAAUAUUAGGGAUAAGGGAUAUAUCAUUUAUCAUUUAAUAUUCAAGUAUAAUCACUAAUUUAUUUUCUUAAAUAAAUUAAAUAUUUUUUUUUUGCAAAAACAAUUAAGGGAUAAAAUCAAAUUCAAUCCAUCUCAAACUAUAAGUCCUCUACCCUAGUGUAUUGAGGCAUUUUCUUAAAAAUCAAUCACUCCUCCGCCCCCGAUGCGUGAGAAUUUUCAAGGGUUAAAAACAAUCAACAAACAACUUUUUAUAGAAGAACUACGGUACUAUGAUCCCUCGCCUAAUGCGAAGGUACGUAGGCAGAGAGUUGUAAACUCUAGCGAGUACAGUUAUGAAAAAUAUUUUUGGGUCUCUCGUCCAUUUAAAAGUAAUACUUUCUGUAAAUAAAUAACUAAUUAAUAAUUAAUAAAUAUCAAAGCAAACAUUUUAGAAACAUACACUAACCUUAAAAUUGUAGGAGAAUCCCAUUGAGUACAAUGGAGGUAAGGGGUGCCUAACACCUUCCCCUUUCUUAACCGACUCCCAAACCUAGUCUCUUACUCUUAACUAUUAGGUUUUUAUCAUUAUUUCCCUGUUCCUUAGGAACGAAUAAAGGAUGGUGGCGACUCUGUCAUUUUUCCAGCCGCGACAGGAAUAAAAUGAGCAUACUUCAUCAACCUAUCCAUAAUUACCCAGAUAUUAUCCCCAUUUGUCACCUUCUUGGGCAAUCCAUACACAAAAGCCAUCAAAUGUAUCCCAUUUCCAAUCAGAAAUAGGCAAUGGUUGCAUCAAACCCAACAGCUUUUGAUACUCAACCUUUGACUUCCGGCAAGUUAGACAUGCAUACACAAACUUUGCAAUCUCUUUCUUCAUUCCAGGCAACCAAAACAUCUUCCUCAAAUUCUGAUACAUCUUUGUAGCAUCGGGAUGAAUACUCAAACCACUCAUGUGACUCUCCUCAAGAAUAAUCUUCUUAAGCUCAGGUACAUCUGGAAUACAACUCCAUAUCUGAACCUCAUCACAAGAUUCUCAUCGACUCGAAAAUCAGCUCCGUUACCCUGGUUGAUUAAUGUGAAACGGUCUAUCAAACUCAAAUUGGAUCUCCGACCCUCUAUGUUCUCUUCAAGGAUACCACUCGUCAGAUUUAACAUACCCAACUUCAUAGUAUUAGGAGUUUCUUCACACAUUAAACUCAUAUCUAUGAGUUGCUCAAUCAGUUCUAACUCUCGAACCGUAAACAUUAACAUGCGUAAGGACUUCCUACUUAUCGCAUCAGUUACAACAUUGGCUUUACCCGGAUGAUAACUCGAAUCAAAAUCAUAAUCCUUCAGAAGUUCAAGCCACUUCCUCUGCCUUAUAUUAAACUCUUCGGAUCAAAUAAAUAUUUCAAACUCUUAUGAUCACUAAACACUUUGAAUUUGGAUCCAAAUAGAAAGUGCCUCCAAAUCUUCAAUACGAAUACCACUGCUGCCAACUCAAGAUCAUGCGUAGGGUAAUUCCUUUCAUGAACUCUCAGUUGUCUCGAAGCAUAAGCCACAACCUAACCAUUUUGCAUCAACACACCUCUCAGACCUAUCUUCGAAGAACCACAAUAUACAACAAGGGACUCACUUGGAUUCAACGAAAUCAAAAUUGGAGCAGACAUCGACUUCUUCUUGAGUUCUUGGAAACUCUCUUCACAAUGCACAUCCCAAACCUAGGCUUGACCCUUUCGAGUCAACUGAGUUAACAACAAUGCUAACUUUGAAAAAACCUUUAAUGAACUUUAUGUAGUAACCAACCAAUCCAAGGAAAAUUCUAAUCUCAGUGAUAGACUUCAGAGUCUCCCAUUGUAACACACCAUCUAUCUUCGCUGGAUCCACAAUUAUAUCACCACUAGAAAUCACAUGAUCAAGGAAACUCACUUUUCUUAAGUAGAACUCACACUUGGGAAACUUUGCGUACAACUGGUUCUCUUUAAAUGUCUACAAUACAAUUUUCAGAUGUUCCACACAUAGCCUCAUACUAUCAUUCUUCUUCUUCACUAACAACAUUGGCGCACCCCAUGGCGAAACACUCGGACGAACAAACUUCUUUUCAAUUAGAUCUUCUAGUUUCUUCCUCAAUUCACUCAUCUGAAGCAUAUUUUCUAUAAGGAUUCAUUAUCUGGUACUAUGUUGAUGGCAAACUCAACCUCACACUCUGGUGGUAAGUCACAAAUAUGCUCUAGAAAUACAUUUGAAAAAUCACAUACAACUGGCAACUCAAUCAUUGCAGCUUUAUUGUCGACUUGCAAGGACGAAAACAUCGUGAACACACAAGCCUCACAUUCCAAGAAUCCUUAUACUUGCGUAACAGAUGGAAAAACUCUCCACUUUUAUUGAACUCGACUUCACGGUCUGAAGGAAAGUCGCAUAUAUCUUAUAGGAAAAACACCAAGGAUCACACACCACUGGCACAACAUUAGCCAUCACAUUGCUCUCUACUCUUCGAGAAUCCAACAUCAACAAUACCUGAUCGUUCUCCCUAAAGACAUCCCAAUUUCGCAGACAUACAUGAAUCUCAAAUCCACAACAUCUUCAAUGUCAGGAACAACAUAGCUUCGGCAUUGCAUGAGCUCUUGCAGUUAGCGACACACUGCACCAACUUAUCCAAAUAAUUGGUAAAUACUUGGUUUAACUCCAACAAUUUAUUCCCAAAAUAAAAUCAACUUAUUCCAACCAAAUACAAACCGUACAUAUCCUCAGGGACAACAUACCCAACACACCACUGGCUCAUCUCUAGCCAAAACAUCGCAUCCCCCUUCACAAGGAAGCAAACAAAUAGAACACCUGACAGUUUUCCCUCAAGGAUCACACCAUUUUGCUAACCGGGGCCUUCCUUGAAUCUGACCUUUUUUCAGGUUCAGGAAAAGCACAACGUUCUCAAAACAGUUGAAUUAGCCAACACCACACUCUCGCUUGUAGAAAAAUGAUGUUCAAGAUCUCAACAAAUGGAACAUCCAAGAGAAGCAAUCACUUCCCCCCCCCCCCCCCACCCACUUGUUUCNACCCACUUGUUUCAUUCCCAAGUUGCAAAUGGAAAACAAAACAAGCAUCGAAAGUAUUCUCACACACAUGUCGCAUACUAGGGAACAAACAUAAUUAAACAACUUGGCCAGAUGGACCGGCCUGCUUUGGUACGACUUUAUAACACACUAAACCCCAAAUACAAUUUUAAUGCAUAAUUGAAUAAAAUUGCAACCACAAAGGGUGUCAGUUACAUCAAACAUAUCCUGCUCCGUAACACGAUUUAUAAAUUUUACAUAAACACAUGUCAGCGCAUGCUGACCUUCACUUAGGGUCUCAUCACAACUGAAUGAUAAUUAAAGCAACUAAAAAACAUAUUACACUCAUACCAUUUAUAGUCAACUUCAACUUCCAUAGUAAAUAAAGAGUUUAAAUAAAUCAUCUCAACAACCAAUUCAGUUAUAAUACUUUAACAUAAACAUGACAUAAGAAGUAAAAGAAAACAUUCCCAGCCCGAUGUUACGUGGUCAAAGCAUGACCCUACUAAAGAAAAUGAAAAGCUAUUAGAAGCCACUCCAAGAGCUACCUUCCACUUACUUCAGCAAUGCUACUCUUGAGCAUCUGCACAAUGCCCAUGUAAAGGCAACAUUCAAACAAAAGGGGUGAUAAUUCAUUUCAAUAAUAAACGGCAUAGAAUGAAGAAUAGAGUACAACAUCUACACAAUCAUGCUCAACGUUAUAUCACAUUCUCACAACCAAAUAAUAAUCAACAUCAUACAUGACAACAUCUCCAUUAUCAUUAACAUCAUAGAAAACCACAUCUCAAUUAUCGUUAACAUCAUAUGCAACAACAUUUCAAUAAUAACCAAUACAAAUGCAACACUUAUCCAAUGUACUCAACACUGACUCGACAUGCAUUUCGUACCAAAUAUGAACACUCAGAUUCAUCUCACUCCAUGAUCCCUACCAUAGGAUCGAUUCCCUCUUGGAACCAGAGCACACAAAAACUCAUUACCAUCAGCACAGGUAACACUUCACUAAUCCCCCAUAAUAGGAAUUAGCUACUCGCAUCCGAUUCAUCACCAUAGGAUCGAGGCUCACCAAAAUUGGACCGAAACCUGUACACCAAGAUGCAUGACUCUCAAAUAACAUGCAUUAACAUAACAAGGUUCACCAAAAGGAUCCCCACACACAUCUCAUCAUUUAUGUAUCACAUCAUUCAUCAUACAACAACCAAUUCAUGUUACCACAUGAAUAAUAUCAAUAAAAAGCAACAAUUCGUCAACAUCUUAACAUCGUCGACAUGAUAACAUAAUUAUCACACCACGAUAUUACAACAAUGCAACGAUUCAUCAAUCAAACGUAUGAACCAAUACAUUUAUUAACAUAGUAGGCAUGUGAAUAAUUUUCAACAUCUCAAUAAUCACUACCAUGUUAUACGUCUGAGCAUUAGCUUUCUAACGCUUCAAACACCACCAAAAUUGGACUUACGGAAUAAAAGUUAGGACCAAAAAUCAUCGUGAUAUGUCAACAAUUCAUUAACCAACGUAUGAACAAAAACUCCACCAACAUAGUAGGCAUAUGAAUAAUACUCAAACAAUUCACUUAUCACCAUCACUUUAUAUCUCUGAGAGUCAGCUUUCUAAUGCUUCAAACCCCAACCCAAAAUGAUUGACGAGUUGAAGGUUAUGAUCAAAACCGUGCACAAAGGCGUUACUAAAAAGUUGUUGUUUUUCUAAAGUUUCCAACACGAUUUUCUUCUUCUUCAAUCCCAAAAUUAUCCAGGAAAUAAUCACCAAAAUUAUUUUAUCCCUGACACAAAGUUAUACCCCUCUAUUUCGAAUAUCCAACACUUCAAAUGAAACUUAAUUUGGACUUACGGAUCAAAAGUUAUGAUCAAAAUGAUUUCAACCGAAAAACACGAACAGAGGCUCCCGCGCUGAGCGCGGUCGUGACAGACAAAAUGCAGAAUGGUUUGCGUUUUUCAUCGUUGGAGGCCUUCUGGGCCUCCAAUUUCGAUUCCGUAAAAAUCCAAAUGCUCAGAAAAUUAUAACUCAUGCAAUACUCUAAUUAUCUUAAGUUAAUUUUCAGUUGUAACAUAAUUAAAUCAUCUAAUUAUUGUUUUAAGAUUAUGCAUAAAACCUUCGAAAUUGCAACAAUGAUGGAUAUAAAUUCAAUCAUGAAAACAUAAAAAAUACACGCAUGUAAGGCACACGAAAUUCAUCAUAUAACAACCAUCAUAGCAUCCCAAUGCAAAAUUAUGAUUCAAAACACCCAAUCCUAAGGUGGUUAAGGGUUCAUCCAUUCUACCCUUCUACUAUACCCUUUACUAUUGGAACAAAUUCCCACCCUUAUGUGAUCUCCAGCAAAAGCCCUUGAUCUUCUUCUUCAAUCUCAAGCUUUUGCUCUCCUUUUUUGCCUCUUUUGAUCCAAUCUCACUUACUGACAAAAUCACCCAAAAACCUAGCUUUUCUCCCAACUUUUGAAAUAUAUAGUAAUUUCCUUACCUUUGCUUAAUUAUUAUUUUCGCCCAAUUUAAUUCUAGCUUCCCUCUUCUUACCAUAAACUCUCCUUAAAUUCUACAAUUGGCCCAGACUCCUUUUCUCUCCAAUUUCUUAUUUUAUCAAUAAUAAUAAAUAAAAUUCUAAUUAUUAUAAUUAUUUUCUAACUUACUCAAUCGUCUCAUCGCACCCUACUAUUUCUACCGCACCCCAACAACAUAUAUUCAAAUAAUUUAUUUUAAAUCGCACCAACAUCUAAUAAUUAAAUAAAACACCAAAAAAUAUCAUGAAUCACCAAUAAUUCAAAAUAAAAUAAUUAAUAAAAUUGCGGUGUUACAAGAUGCAUCACCAGUAUAAGACUUCUGCUGGCUUUUACCAUUUUUUUGUCGAACUUGUCAUCUCUCUUUGUGAAUUUCGCCUUAACCGACAGGCCUUCACUAGUCGAAGAUGGCUUGUGCUCCUUUCGUUCGUUGAAAUCCUUAAAAUACAAGGUUGAUUGAACUUUUUCAAUGGUCAAAGACUCUCUUUCAUACAAGAGAGUUUCUGUGAAGUGAGCAUGUGAUUUGAGCAAAGCACACAACAACAAUAGCGCUAGAUCCCUAUCCUCGAUCUUGACAUCGAUAUUUUCAAGAUCAAGAAUCAACUUGUUGAACAUAUCCAACUGCUUUUCCAGAACUAUGUCUUCACUCAUCUUGAGAGAAUACAAAAUUUUCUUUAGGUAGAGGCGAUUGACCAACGAUUUGGUCAUGUACAAACUUUUAAGUUUCACCCAUAACCCCGACGUUGUCGUCUCCUUCAAAACCUAUCGAAAAACCUUAUCAUCAAGUCCCAAUGAGAUGAUGUUGUGGGUUUUCUCUACCAUAGUCGUUUUUUCUUUGUCCGUUAACGCAUCGUCCAUGGCUUCGGAUCCCUUCAAUGCUUCUAAACAACCAUGUUGAACCAAUAGGACUUUCAUUUUUAAGCCCCACAGACCGAAAUCGUUCACUCUGGUAAACUUUUCAAUCUCAUACUUUGUUGACGACAUCUUCUCUAUGCUCACCGCACUAAUUUGUUGUGAAAAAUGAUGUUAGAAUAACAAAGUAUAAUCAGUUUCUUGAUCGGAAAGAAACUCGCAAUGGUAGAAAAGAGGGAAGCAAGAAGAAUAUAAUGAAAUUGAUUAUAAAUUGUUAUUCUUUACUUUCUCUUCGGAACAAGAUUACAAGUGUUACAGAAUAGAAAAUAACCUCUCUCACCCUAAUUAGGAUUUGCGUUAUACAAUGAUGAGAGACUAGUAUGCUAUUUAUAAGAAAACUAACAAUCUAAACUAAUGAGCUUUUACAGACAGACUCAUUACACAAGCUAACUUAGAGAACAAGCUAACUUAAACAAUUUGGCAUAACAAACAGGCCAAAUUUGACAUGCUAACAAUCCUAGCAUACUUCGACUACAACAUGUGAACAGACUUCGACGACAUGCUAAGGUCCUUUCGAAUUGUCAAACCAAGAAGCUAUUAUUCGAUCAUACUAGAGUUCGAUCCAACUUAGACGACAUGCUAAGGUUCUGUCGAAUUGUCGAACCAACAAGCUACUCUUCGACCAUACUAAAAUUCAAUCCAAUAUCUCACAUUAUAACAAGCGAUGGAUAAAGUUAAAUUACCGAGGGCUUACCUACAAUAACGUGGCCCUCGAUAAAAUGCUCCUUGGUAACAAGUACCCACGGUCACAUGGGCCUACAAUAUUACCCUCGGUCUAACUUUGAGUUAUUUGUCGAUAACCAUAACUUAGGAAGAAAAUUAUUUUUCUUAUAUACCCACAACUUAGUAGUCCAUAGUUUUGAAAUAACAUUGCUCAAGGUUUAGCCAUAUAUAUAUAUAAUCAUAUAACCAUUGAUCUUUAUGUAAUGAAUAAAAUCUAAAAUAAAGCCAAAAAUUCAAACUUUAAUAUCAAUUCUAAAUCUCAAAAUAUCUAUCGGUUCAAACUUUUAUAUUACAUUUUGAUCCGUCUGAGCGUUUUAACCAGGCGUUUUCUAUUUUAAAAUUUGAUAAAAACUGUUUUCGAGAAGUUUAUUUCACGAUGAUUAUUGUGGUGCAAUCAUUUUACUUUUUUGAACACUUUUGCUUCCGAUUUUUAUUCGUUUUUAUCAAUCUAUUUCCGUUUUUUAGGAUUAUUUAGAAUUAUUUGUGUUUUUUAUUUGAAUUUUUAUUGUGCAUUUUUUAUUUAUUAAUUUUUUAAGUUAUGUAUUUUUAAUUUAAUUUAUUAUACAAAAAUCAAGAAAUAACAAAAAAAUAUUUUUCCCUCCAUUCAUCAAAGGCCAUGUGGCCACUCACAUUUGAUUUUCAGCUGGAUUUUGUUUUGAUAGUGGUGGAGAGACCACCUAUUUCUUGUUCUACGUAUUGCAUGGCAAAAGAGAGACUAUUAGACGAUAGGUCUAGAUCUAGAGGGGGGUGAAUAGUUCCCAAGUUAAAAAUUCAUCCUAAAAUUUGAUUUAGAAAAAUUUAUGACGCGGAAGCAAGUUUCAAAUAUCUACGAAUCAAAAAUUGUUUAACCGAACCUACUAUUGAAUAGCCUGGAUAUGCGUAAAGGUGUCAAUGUUAUGAUAAUAAUUCACAAGUCAAUCAACAACAGUUAAGCACAACCAAUCGAAUACUCUACAAUAGUAAAAGUCUAUGUCCAAUGAUAUCCACACACAAAAUAGCUAAGUCAAACAAUUUGUCGAACACUUGAUGUACGAAAAAUAAAGUUUGGACUUUUAUAUCGUGUUUGUUGUUCUAAGAAAUCCAGUCACAACCAAAUCAUUAGUGAUCAAUACAACAAACACAAGAUUCAAAAUAUAAUCAAAAUUAUGAUCCAAAUUAUGUUGAUUUUGUGAUCAAAACAAUCGACAAUUUGUGAAUCAUAAAAUAAAAGAGAGAGAGAGAGAGAGAGAGAGAGAGAGAGAGAGAGAGAGAGAGAGAGAAAGAGAGAGAGUACAUAAGGAUUUGUUUAGGCAGUUCCCAAAUCGACCUCGCUAUAGGUACGUCUACCCUCAAACAAUCGACAAUUUGUGAAUCAUAAAAUAAAAGAGAGAGAGAGAGAGAGAGAGAGAGAGAGAGAGAGAGAGAGAGAGAGAAAGAGAGAGAGUACAUAAGGAUUUGUUUAGGCAGUUCCCAAAUCGACCUCGCUAUAGGUACGUCUACCCUCAAUUUGAAUUCGAAUUGAGAUAUUAUUAUUAUAAAUCUUGCUUUGUAAAUGUAUGUAUACAAGAUAUGAGAGAUCAAAUCCCACAAACCCUAAGUUUGUUCUUGACUCUAGCACCUCCAAAAACCUUGAUCAAAGAUUGAUUAAGACACCAACGUUGUUGCUUCAAUUCACCUGUUGUUGUUAUUCCUUGCAUGACCUCAUUGUCUCAAAGCUUUCACUCGGCUGAAUUAAUCUCAAGCGCACACUUGUUGAACCCAAGAUUUGUCAACACGAUCCACCGUUGCAUGCUACUCCCUUGCAUGACAUACCUAGUCCCAAGGCUUUCACUCGAUCGGAUAUGGAUUGAACUAUCUUGUUCCAGUCCUUCAAACCCUAAAGAUCUUGAAGGAAAACCCUAAAUUGGUUUUCUUAUUUGAAUCCCUCAAAGAUCACAACCCAAUAUUCUCGGUACAACAAACCUAAUUGGACGUUAUCAAUCCUAAUCUAGAUGGCACCCAAUUAAAAAAUGAUUAUGUGUUGUUUGAUUGUGUGUAUGCAUAGAUUGAAUUGAAGAUGAUGAGAUGCUUUGAAAUCCUGGAUUCAUGUAGGUUUUACUCACUCUUGAAACCUUGCUAGAGAAAGAUGCAUGUACCAAUUAUAUAUAUGUGUAAGACUCAUAAGAAGCAAAAGAAAUGCAAAAGGAAUUGAAACAAAUGCACAUGAGACAGACGCUACAGACUUUAAGGUUAUGUGUUGUUUAUAGGUAGACUUGAAGACUUGGCACAUGAGACAGACGCUACAGACUUUAAAACUGCAGCAUACGUGUCGACCUGUACAUUUUAUGUGUCGACCUGGAAUUUAAAAAAGUCAUCUAUAGGUCGACCUAUAGUCGUAUGUGUCGACCUAUAAUAAGGAUUUUUCACUUUAAACCAAUUUUUUCAUGCUCAACACAAUAUUUUGACGCACAAAUAUUUUCCAGACCAUUUCCAACAAUGUUGACAUGCUUCCAAAUGCAAGAACGCUGAAAUGCAUAGCUAGACUCGGAUGAUACCAUCUAAUGUAUAUAAACGUUAUUUCAUAGUUUUUACAUCAUUCAAAACAUAUCUAAACAAAUGGAUGCACUCACAGGGACCACCACCGAUUAAUGACCACACGACGCAGAGUGACAAGGAGGAGGUGUUUGUUAUUGAAAUAAAAAAGGUGAGUUCUUUCACUAUAAAAAAAUGCAAACUUUUCUUUCUCCUGGAUAACACAUUUUCACUACUUUUUCAUCCUCUCUAAAAACAACAACAUCAUAUCUCUCUUUCCAUUUUUUCACGAAAAAAACUCCUACACUCUUUCCUGUUUUUCUUCAUUAUUUCUUCCUGCUUCCUUCCCUCACGACAUAACUCUUUCCUUCGUCCAUAUUUUUUCUUCACUCUUAACUCCCUCAUCCACGACAUCAAACACGUGUUGCACACCUCCUCACACCACCACCAUAAACCAAACUCCCUUCUUCACCCUUAUCUCCCUAACACAUCCUCCUCCUCCAUCCAUUUUCCAAACCUACGACCACGAACAACCACAACCACCUCCAUACGACCCACCUUCCACUUCAUCCCUCAUCUUUGCGCCAAACACCCCCUAACUGAACAACACCACGACUGUAACUAAACAACCUCACCCCAUGCAAAACCUUCACCCUUUCAAACACUAAACCACCUUCACACCACUUGCUAUAAAACCUCAACACCAUCAACCACCACCACGGUCUCCAUAAUAACUGCGGUUGUACCAUCAAAACCUUUCUCCAUAACUUCCAUUAAACACACUUCACUUGCUCCACAAUAACACCACACAAACUAUUCACUUCCGUUUUCAUAAUGUUUACGUACAUGUUCAUUUCCGGUUUGGUUUGUUUAAACUUUAUGACUUUAUGGUUGGUUGGUUGAUAGUGUGUGGUUCAUGAUAUUCAUGCUUCUCAUUUAUAUUUUUGUGAGUUUUCGUUUUAAUGGAGUUGGUUUGGGUUUUUGUUGAGAUUUUUCGUUUUCAUGGCAUAGGGAAGAAGAAGAUGAACAUGUGUGUAUAAUAUGCUACUACUGAGUUUUAUUUUGUUUUUUAAUUAUUUACGCGUUUUGUUUUAGACAUAUUAAUCAUUUCCAUGUUAUACAACUAAUUGGGCAUGGUGGAGUGGUUGAGACCUCGGCCUCCCAACCACCAUGUCCCAAGUUUGAACCUAGCCUGCACCAUUUCUACAUUUUUUCAUGUUUUUCUUUUCUUUUCCAUUUUAUCAAGCAUUAUAUAUAUAUAUAUAAAUAUAUAUAUAUAUAUAUAUAUAUAUAUAUAUAUAUAUAUAUAUAUAUAUAUAAUAUAUAUAAUAUAUUAUUAUAUAUAAUAUAUAUAUAUAUAUUAUAUAAUAUAUAUAUAUGUGUGUGUGUGUGUGUGUGUGUGUGUGUGUGUGUGUGUGUAUGGGUGUAAUUAUUUAUCAGCAAUAGGAUCAUGGGAGAAUGAUUGAAGUAUCAUGCCUCUUGCCCCCAUGUCCUGGGUUUAAACCCUUGCUUCCACUUUUCCUUGUAUUUUCUAAUUUUUUCCAUUUUUUAAUUUCUUUUUCACCCUUAUUUUUUAUUUUUUUCCCAUUUUUUCAGCUAUCCGAUUUUAUUUUAUUUUUGAUUUUUGUGAUACCUACUUCUUGUUAUGACAUUAUCUUUUCAAUUUAAUUUAAUUUUUUUCCACUUAUUUUAUUCCGAUUACGGCAGUUGUAAAAGCACCAUGUGAAGGUUAAAACAAUGCAUUACUUGUUGGAUUUUUGCUUGGUUUCUUUGAAUCUUGUCAUUGUUAGACAUCAAAUUUUAAUCCAUGGACUCGACAUUUCCAUGUUAUUAUUCCACCGAUUAGUUUAUUGAUACAUUGAUGGUAUUUCGCUGCGUUUAGACCCGUCGCAUACGCUAUAUCUAUUGUUGUUAAUACACGCAAAUCGGCUUUGAGCUCAUUACCUAGCGUUAAGUAUGCACCUCUCAAUUUCAUUUUGCCUUGCAGGUUCUUGCGUUAUGUGACUUUGAUUCGCAUCCUUGCAUCUUGGUUUUAAUUCGUGCAUGCUUCGAUUUAACUUCUUUCAAUUUAAUUGUUCAACGUGUUGUAAAUAUACCUUGUGUGUGGCUAUUUUCUUCACAUGACUUACUUUUGGGUCUUCUUACAAUAAGACCAUUCUCUUGCACUUACACUCAUUUAUUAUUGUUUGUUGAUUGGGAUUUAUUAAAUUGUUUCAUUAUCUUGUAUCCCUAUUCAAAAAAAUGUACCCCAAUAACAAAUUAAUCCAUUUCUAUCCAUUCCAA
rnacentral:lncRNA from 1 species